GGCUCUCAGGUCUGGCCGUCGCAUUGAGGCCCCACCACCGCCGGGGGGCGCCACGCGCCGGAGAAACCGGCCCGUUUCGCAAAACGCUACGCACGCACGCCACGUACGGGGGGCGGGUCCGAAGCCUAAACUCGAGGUCCCGCCCCGCUGUAGGAUGGGAAGGAGCCCACUGGUCCCCGCCCAAUAGGCCAUUUCGCCUGGAACAAGGGGGAAAAGUUCGUUCUGUGCUGGGCUACAUGUGACUGUAUGUAACGUCACUGGGACAGGUUCCAUUUCCUGGACCCUUGGAGAUCUCCAUGUGGCUUUGUUACCUGAAUAAGGUUCUUGACUCUCACUGGUCAAGAAUAAGCAGCUGCACUCUGAAGAAAUCUAAAAAGAAGAAAGCAGCCAGAAGAGGGAAGCAAAGAACAGCCCGGAUUUGCGUUAAGAUGCAAAUCUGAUGACUACUGACACGUCAUCUCAGUUAAUGCUCACGACCACUCUGAAGUUCAGAGAGUCUAAGGACUGACUCAAAGUCACACAGGUCAUUUGCCUAAAAUCACACAGCUAGUUCGUCACAAAGCUAAGACUAACCCCCGGGACUGGUAAUUCUCAUUCCAGUGCAUUUUCUGCUAUACCUUGUUGCCGCUGCACUUCAAAAAAAUCAGAAUCCCUGUGCAUUAAAUAAACUUGCGUGAAAUUUGUGAACUUUCCAAAUUGAAAGUCAGUUUCCCAUGCCAGAGGAAAAACAAUUUCUUCCUUUUUAUUUAAGAGCAUUAAAUUUGGCUUUUGGAUGCUUUUCAUGUGAUACUAAUCAGUUUUAAUAAAAGUAUAAACAGAAACACGAGCUACUACUAAACUUAUAAUUACCAAAAUAUCAGCAAGAGAGAUCACAUAUUUUUAAAUCUUCAUCACUUAUAUAACUUUUUUUUUUAACUCGUAACAUAGUUUAUAAUUAUUAUGUAAGACAACAGUCUGGUCAGGCAAAUACAGGCUACUGUACACAGUUCUUUUAAUCAUUCUAAAAUGUCAACCUAUUUUUUCUUAUUAUUAAAUUUCUUUCAUUUUGGGGGCCUAUUGCUUGAUAUCCUUUAGGAAUGACCUUUUUUCUCUUAGAAUCUAAGCAGAGUUAAGUUCACUGUUCCCCAAACUCUAUUCACAUUUAUGAUUUCUUCCAUAUUCAUAUACCACCUAGCCAUUAUUUAAUAUUUUUAUUUAUAUUGUCUCACUUUUAUAUUCAAUACCUAGUUUACUCUCAUCCUAAAUAAUAUUCUUGAAAUUAUAGGUCUGAUAUGCUAAUUGUAUAAUUUUUACGUUAAAUACACAACUUUUAUUUUUUUUUUUAAAUGUCUAUUACCUAAAAUCACCCUGCUUUGGUAUAGUUAGUGGAAAGAGCACUGUCACGGAUUGAAUUGUGUCCCCCCCCAAAAUAUCUGUCAGCUUGGCUAGGUCAUGAUUCCCAGUAUCGUAUGAUUGUCUAACAUUCUGUCAUCUGAUGUGAUUUCCCUAUGUGUUGUAAAUCCUAUCACUAUGAUAUAAUGAGAUGAAUUAGUGGCAGUUAUAAGAUUAGGUAGUGUCUUAAGCCAAUCUGUUUUGAGAUAUAAAAGAGAGAAGCGAGCAGAAAGACAUGGGGACCUCAUACUACCAAGAAAGCAGUGCCAGGAGCACAGCGCGUCUUUUGGACCUGAGGUUCCUGUGCUGAGAUUCUCCCAGACCAAAGGAAGACUGAUGACAAGGACCUUUCUCCACAGCCGACAGAAAAAGCUUUCUCCUGGAGCUGAUGCCCUGAAUUUGGACUUGGAGCCUACUAGAGAGUGAGAGAAUAAAUUUCUCUUUGUUAAAGCUAUCCACUUAUGGUAUUUCUGUUACAGCAGCACUAGAUGACUGCAACAAGCAUCAAAUCCAGAAUAAGAAGACAGGACUUCAAAACCCAGCUGUGACAUCUUCCUCUGUGAAAAUCACUUUACCACUCUGAGCCUGUUUCCUAAUCUGUAAAAUGGAGAAUACCUGUCCUGCUUCCUUCCCUUUCUGGGUUAUUGUGGGGUUUAAACUGAAUGAUGAUGAAAAUAUUUUGUAACUAUGAAAAUCAUGGGGAAGAAAAGAGUAUCAUAUAGGACAAUAUAUAACAAUGCAUAGGGCAGUAACAGAGAAGUCAACUCAAUUUGUGCUUACUGUAUUUAAAUGCAGUUUACCCUUUAAUCUACAAGACUAUGUUUCCUUCAGAAAGUAAUAACUGGGGUAUAAUAUAGGGUUGCUAUUUAUCUCUCCAUCAAUAGGGAAUCCGAAGGGAAAAAAAAACUUGUCCACAGGAAUGCAACUGUUCUUUGUUCAUUUGCUUCCAGCCACUGCAACUCGGCAGGCACUGCAGGCCCAUCUGCAGAAGGUGACCAAGAGGAGAGCUUAGCACAGUGUGCAGCCCUGAUCAAUGCCUGUAAAUUGACAUGACUGAUAAUUACAGAGUUACUGUAAGCCUCAUUUUUAUCAUUCAGUAAAGCUAAAACAGUGAGUUCUUACAUUGGGCUUAAUCCAGGAUCACUCAGAAACCCAUCAGCUUCUUGGAACCAUCCACAUCCAAACUUUAAAGGGAUCUUCCCAGUCCCCACUCAGCCUUGUGAAGUAGUGUUAGGUACCUCUGAGAAAACAAGAAACACGUCUAGACCCAGCAUGGGCCACGCAAAAAAUAACCAAAAACCGGUUGUCACCAAGUCGAUUCUGACUCAUGUCAACCUCAUGUGUUUCAGAGUAGAACUGUACUCCAUAGGCUUUUCAGAAAACACAGGUCCACAGGGUUUUCAAUGUCUGUGGUCUUUCAGAAGUAGAUCACUCCAGGCCUUUCUUCCAGGGUACCUCUGAGUGGAUUCAAAUCACCAACCUGUUAGCAGCUGAGUGCUUAACUGUUGUGCCACCCAGGAACUUCGUGUUUCCUCUCAGUCAUCUUUUGCCAGAUACGGAACAUUAAGAUCAAACAGAUGUGUCAGCCACUGUGCUGUGUACGUUUGCAUAUAUUAAUACAUUUAAUAUCAUUAUUUUCAUUUGUUAGAACCCUAAUGUUAUUUGGUUCUAAGUUACGACUGUGCCUUCCAUCCUAAGAGUUUAAAUGUUCAGGUUAACCAAAUCAUAAGCAGAUUAUCCAGUUUUUAGGGUGAAAUACCAAUUAUCUCUGAUGUGUGGGCAUUUGAGUGUUUUAUAUAUGAUGUUUGAGUUUUAAAAAGUAGAAUGUAAUAUUUAGCAUUAAAAGCCUAUUUCAUAUGUUUACAUCUUUAUUUGAAUCAGAAAACUCUUGAGGCACUUACCUUAUCUUAGUUAUCAUUAUAAGUUCUAUUAUAAUUGUAAUGUACUGCAGCUAUGUUGUUGUUGUUACAUGGCAUCGAGUCAGUUUCAUCUCACAGCGACCCUGUGUACAACAGAACAAAACACUGUGCCAUCCUCACAAUCAUUAUGCUUGAGCCCAUUGUUGCAGCAACUGUAUCAGUCCAUCUCGUUGAGGGCCUUCCUCUUUUUUCACUGACCCUCUACUUUAAAAGCAUGGUGUCCUUCCCCAAGGACUGGUCCCUCCCGAUAACAUGUCCAAAGUAUGUGAGACAAAGUCUCACCAUCCUUGCUUCCAAUGAACAUCCUGGCUGUACUUCUUCCAAGACAGAUUUGUUUGUUCUUCUGGCAGUCCAUGGUAUAUUCAGUAUUCUUUGACAACACCGUAAUUCAAAGGCAUCAAUUCUUCUUCAUUCUUCCUUAUUCAUUGUUCAGCUUUCACAUGCAUAUGAGGUGAUUGAAAAUGCCAUGACCUCCCUCAGGUGAAAUUAGUCCUUAAAGUGACAUUUUUGCUUUUUAACACUUUGAAGAGGUCGUUGGCAGCAGAUUGGCACAAUGCAAUGCAUCAUUGGAUUUCUUGACUGCUGCUUCCAUAUGUGUUGACUGUGGAUCCAAGUAAAAUGAAAUCCUCGAGAACUUCAAACUUUUCUCUGUUUAUCCUGAUGUUGCUUAUUGGACCAGUACUUAGGACUUUAGUUUUCUUUAUGUCGAGGUGUAAUCCAUACUGAGGUGGUCUUUGAUCUUCAUCAGUAAGUUCUUCCAGCAAUCAAGGUUGUGUCAUCUGCAUAUCACAGGUUGUUAAUAAGCCUUCCUCCAAUUCUGAUGCCAUGUUCUUCAUGUAGACUAGCUUCUUGGUUUAUUUGCUCAGCAUACAGAUUGAAUAAGUAUGGUGAAAAGAUACAACCCUGACUCAUACCUUUUCUAAUUUUAAACCACACAGUAUCCCCUUGUUCCUUUUGAACAACGGCCUCUUGAUCUAAGUAUAGGCUUCCCAUGAGCACAAUUAAGUGUCCUGGAACUCCCAUUCUUCACAAUGUUAAGCAAAUUUAUUAUGAUCCACACAGUCAAAUGCCUUUGCAUAAUCAGUAAAAAACAUAGGUGAACAUCCUUCUGGUAUACUUUGCUUUCAGCCAUGAUCCAUCUAACGUCAGCAGUGACAUCCCUCAUUCCAUACCCUCUUCUAAAUCAGGCUUGAGUUUCUGGCAGUUCCUUGUCAAUGUACUGCUGCAACCGCUUUUGAAUGAUCUUCAGCAAAAUUUUUCUUGUUCGUGAUAUUAAUGAUAUUGUUUGAUAAUUUCCGCAUUCUGUUGGAUCACCUUUCAUUGGAAUGGGCACAACAAUGGAUCUCAUCCAGUCAGUUGGCCAGGUAGCUGUCUUCCAAAUUUCUUGGCAUAGACAAGUGAGCACUUUCAGCACUGCAUCUGUGUGUUGAAAUACCUCAGUUGGUAUUCCAUCAAUUCCUGGAGCCUUAUUUUUCACCAAGUGCCUUCAGUACAGCUUGAUUUGAACCUCUUCCUUCAGUACCAUCGGCUCUUGAUCAUAUGCUACCUCCUGAAAUGUUUGAACAUUGACCAAUUUUAUUUGGUACAAUGACUCUGUGUAUUCUUCCCAUCUUCUUUUAAUGCUUCCUGCAUUGUUUACUAUUUUCCCUAUAGAAUUAUCCAUUAUUGCAACCCAGGGCUUGAAUUUUUUCUUCAUUUCUUUCAGCUUGAGAAAUGCCAAGCCUGUUCUUCCCUUUUGGUUUUCUAACUCCAGGUCUUUGCACAUUUCAUUAUAAUAUUUUUUCUUCUUGGGCCACCCUUUGGAAUCUUCUGUUCAGCUUUCUUACUCCAUCAUUUCUUCCUUUUGCUUUAGCUAUUCUUUGUUCAAGAGCAACUUUCAGAGUCUCUUAUGACAUCCAUUUUGAUCUUUUCUUUCUUCCCUGUCUUUUUAGUGAUCUCUUGCUUUCUCCAUGUAUGAUGUCCCAUAUCAUUCCACAACUCAUCCGGUCUUUGGUCAUUAAUGUUCAAUGCAUCAAAUCUAUUCUUGAGUUGGUCCAUAAAUUCAGAUGGGAUAUACUCAGAGUUGUGCUUUGGCUCUCGUCAACUUGUUCUGAUUUUCUUCAACUUCAACCUGAACUUGCAAAUGAGUAACUGAGGGUCUGUUCCACAGUCAGCCCUUGGCCAAACUUCUCUAUCGUCUCUUUCCACAGAUGUAGUUGAUUUGAUUCCUGUGUAUUCCAUCUGGAGAGGUCCAUGUGUAUAGUUGCUGUUUAUAUUGAUGUUUAUGUAUUCCAUAUAAUUUUGAUGACUUCCAAUUUUCCUAGAUUCAUACUUCAUACAUUCCACAUUGUUAUUAUUAAUGGAUGUUUGCAGCUGUCUUUUCUCAUUUGAGUUAUGCCACAUCAGCAAAUGAAGGUCCUGAAAGCUUGACUCCAUCCACAUCAUUAAGAUCAACUCUACUUUGAGGUCACAGCUCUUCCGUAGUCGUAUUUUGAGUGCUUUCCCAUCUGAUGGGCUCAUCUUCUGGCAGUAUAUCAGAUAAUAUUCUGCCUCUGUCCCUAAGGUUUUCACUGGCCAGUUUUUUAAAAAUAGACUGCAAGGUGCUUCAUCUUAGUCUAUCUUAGUGUGGAAGGUCCACUGAAACCUGUCCACCAAGGGUGACCCUGCUGGUAUUUGAAAUACCAGUGGCAAAGCUUCCAGUAUCACAGCAACGUGCAAGCCACCGCAGUACGACAAACUGACAGACACGUGGUGGACUAAAGCUAUAGAAGCUAUAAAACUGAAAUUAACUCUGCUACAUUCCUGAUUAUCUCUUAUGAUAUUAAAUGCAGAAAAAAUAGUUAUUUGGGUUCUGUGAUUAUUUGGAUGGGGAUAAAUAAGAGUUUAUUGUAAUUGUAAAUUAUCCUAAUUAGUAAGAAAUUAGAAUAUAAAUCAUUUUAAGAAGUUGUCAGCUAUGCCUAGAUCUUGGUUUCUAAACACCACUCUCCAAUAAAAGGAAAUAGAGCUCUCUGGAGAAAUGGUCAGUUCAAAGACUGGGGCAGAAAAUACGCAGAUGAGCCUGGAGCGUCCUGCAGCACCAGAAAGUAAAGAAGUGCUCAAAAAAAAAAAAAAAAUACUCCACAAUGAUGGGACGUUUGUCAAAGGAGCCACAGGAGUCAAAGGUGUCCACAGGAGCCAACUGAAAGAGCUCCCGAUGACCAAAGCUAGAAUAAUUUGAGUCAGAACAUAAAGUAGUAUUGGAUUAUAAACCAAAAUUUAAAAUAAAUAUCUAUGAAUUCAUACUGAUAUAGAAAAAUUAUUUAAUAAAUAAAUGGAAGAGAGGAGACAUAUGUCCGCAUGCAGUAGAAUUCCAAAUAACUUAUGAAGAUACUCCACCCUCAAGGAGCAGGAGCAUAACUCCCCACUUAAAGUGUAAGUUAAAAUAAUAACUUCACGGUAGAAAAACCUGACAAACACUACACCAGGCAGAUGAUCAAGGUCAAUAUUAACCAAAAAAAAAAAAUUUAACAGUGAUGAUAAAUCAAGUUGACAGAAUGUAAUCUUGAUAUGUGAUGAAAAUGGUACUUUACGUAACCUCAUUCUAAUCAUGAGGAAAACAUCAGACAAAUUCCACUGGAGGGGCAUCCUACAAACUACUUGACUAAUAUUCCUUAAUACUGUUAAGGUCAUGAAAAACGGGGCAAGUCUGAGAAAUGUCACACCUAAGAGGAACCUAAGGAGACAUGAUGACUAAAUGUAAUGUGGUUCCUGGGAUAGAAAAAAAAAAAAACAGUAGUACGACAAGAAAUCUGGAAAAAAACAUGGACUUUAGUUAAUAAUAAUAUAUCAAUAUUGGCUCCUUAAUUGUAACAAAUGCAGCAUGCUACCAGUGUAAGAUAGGGGAAAAUGGAUGUGGUGUAUAUAGUAACUGUCUGUACUAUCUUCUCAAUUUUUCUGCGAAUCUAAAACUGUUCUAAAAAAUAAAGUAUGUUAAAAACAAUGUCAUCAGUAGCCAUAAGAGGCAAUGAGUUUAUGUAAGUGGGGGAGGAACAACUCAGAAAAGGAGGGUGAAAAUGGUUGCACAACUCAAAGACUGUAAUUAAUGUCACUGAAUUGUACAUGUAGAAACUGUUGAAUUGAUGUACAUUUUGCUGUGUAUAUUCUCAACAACAAAAAUAAAUUAUUUUUAAAAAGUGCUGUCAGUUAUUCAGAAUCAAAACAUAUCGUUCACACAUUGCACCAUACAUUCUGUAUAGUAGAAAUAGUUUUAGGAGACUGACAUUCAAAAAACUUAAGCUGUGGACAGGUUUAAUUCUACUUAACCAAAGUGAAAUAGGCAGCUGGCUUAGUUAAUGUAAUGUAUGGUAAGCACUGCCUAUUGUGUGGAUUUUUAAACUUAUAUUAGGAAAAAAAAUUUAAUACUGAAUACUUGGUUCUUUCAAUUUUUUUCAUUUAACUUAAUUACCAAGAGCAUACAGAAGCUAUAAUACUUUUUAAUGAAAUAUUUAAUAUGGAAGAAAGGUAAAUUUAGUUUUUUUUUGGUUCUGUUGGUUUUGUUGAUUACCACAUAAAUAGGUUACCCCAGAGUUGAUCUAUAAUGAAGUUUAAAGAUCUCUUUGAAGUUUUAUGAAACUGUAUUCUAAAAUUAGACUCUCCGAAUCUUAUAAUUUUCUAGCACCUUUUAUCGGUGCAUUCAAGCAGUUUACAAGGACCCUCUGGUACAUUUAUAAUAACAUUUCUUACAUGGGAGAAGCAGAUGAGUCAAAUGACAUA